GCAUGGCUUUGGAUUUAUGGCAGGCCUGUCCCCCGGGUCUCUCCUGGUGCCCAUGCCAGAGCAGACUGGCCUGGAACCAUCGCCUGCCUCUGCUCCUCUGCUGCGGGCGCUGAAGCGGGUUGCAAGGUG
ensembl:snoRNA small nucleolar RNA SNORA42/SNORA80 family